GGAGUCGAGAAUGAAUGGGUUUUCGGGGGUUAACUGUCUCUUUUGGAUUUAGUUGAAAUUUCUAAAAAGGUGCAAAAUCCUUUAAUUCGAAAAAAGACGAGAAGACCCUUAGAGUUUUUAUUAUAAAAAGAUUAAUUCUUUAUCGGUUUUUGCUGGGGCGGCAAAGAGACAAUAAACUCUCUUUUUACAGUUUUUAGAAGACGUGAGUCUAAAGAGACAAUAAACUACCUUAGGGAUAACAGCAUAAUUAAAUUUUAGUUUGUGACCUCGAUGUUGGACUAGGAAAAAUUUUUGGUUAGCCGCCAA
rnacentral:rRNA from 1 species